AACGAACGCUGGCGGCAUGCCUAACACAUGCAAGUCGAACGAGACCUUCGGGUCUAGUGGCGCACGGGUGCGUAACGCGUGGGAACCUGCCCUUAGGUUCGGAAUAACUCCCCGAAAGGGGUGCUAAUACCGGAUAAUGUCUUCGGACCAAAGAUUUAUCGCCUUUGGAUGGGCCCGCGUUGGAUUAGCUAGUUGGUAGGGUAAAAGCCUACCAAGGCGACGAUCCAUAGCUGGUCUGAGAGGAUGAUCAGCCACACUGGGACUGAGACACGGCCCAGACUCUUGCGGGAGCCAGCAGUGGGGAGUAUGGGAUGAUGGGCGAAAGGCUGAACCAGCCAUGACGCGGGAGUGAUAAAGGCCUUAGGGGGGUAAAGCUCUUUUACCCGGGCUGAUAAUGACGGGACCGGGAGAAUCAGCAACGGCUGACUCCGU
rnacentral:rRNA from 1 species